rnacentral:rRNA from 1 species
GACGAACGCUGGCGGCGUGCUUAACACAUGCAAGUCGAACGGAAAGGCCCUGCUUUUGUGGGGUGCUCGAGUGGCGAACGGGUGAGUAACACGUGAGUAACCUGCCCUUGACUUUGGGAUAACUUCAGGAAACUGGGGCUAAUACCGGAUAGGAGCUCCUGCUGCAUGGUGGGGGUUGGAAAGUUUCGGCGGUUGGGGAUGGACUCGGGGCUUAUCAGCUUGUUGGUGGGGUAGUGGCUUACCAAGGCUUUGACGGGUAGCCGGCCUGAGAGGGUGACCGGCCACAUUGGGACUGAGAUACGGCCCAGACUCCUACGGUAGGCAGCAGUGGGGAAUAUUGCACAAUGGGCGGAAGCCUGAUGCAGCAACGCCGCGUGCGGGAUGACGGCCUUCGGGUUGUAAACCGCUUUCGCCUGUGACGAAGCGUGAGUGACGGUAAUGGGUAAAGAAGCACCGGCUAACUACGUG